rnacentral:rRNA from 1 species
GAUGAACGCUGGCGGCGUGCCUAACACAUGCAAGUCGAGCGGACGGACGAGAAGCUUGCUUCUCUGAUGUUAGCGGCGGACGGGUGAGUAACACGUGGAUAACCUACCUAUAAGUCUGGGAUAACUUCGGGAAACCGGAUCUAAUACCGGAUAAUAUUUUGAACCGCAUGGUUCAAAAGUGAAUGACGGUCUUGCUGUCACUUAUAGAUGGAUCCGCGCUGCAUUAGCUAGUUGGUAAGGUAACGGCUUACCAAGGCAACGAUGCAUAGCCGACCUGAGAGGGUGAUCGGCCACACUGGAACUGAGACACGGUCCAGACUCCUACGGGAGGCAGCAGUAGGGAAUCUUCGGCAAUGGGCGAAAGCCUGACGGAGCAACGCCGCGUGGGUGAUGAAGGUCUUCGGAUCGUAAAACUCUGUUAUUAGGGAAGAACAUAUGUGUAAGUAACUGUGCACAUCUUGACGGUACCUAAUCAGAAAGCCACGGCUAACUACGUG